GGGCCGCGCUGCCGCUCGGCGCGGUGCCCGGGGCAGGGAGUUGAUGAUUAACCCGCGGGCCACCGAGUACCUGCCUAAAGUCGCGCCCAGGGUGGGGUUUAACCUUGUCCCGGGCUCGGUGCCUCCCGUGUGACCGUGGGGCGAGCAGUUCUGCAGCUGCCGCCGAAGCGCUGCGGGGAUGCGCAGCUCCCUGUUGAACAAUCUCUGCUCUAGGUCUCAGCCUAGAGCUCGUUUUUGGAGGCUCAGGAGGUCGAGGUGAUGUGGGGGUCUCGGCGAGCGGAUGUGCGCCACAGCCGCGGGCUGCAGUAGCUCGAGUGUUUGUGGCUGGCGCUUGAAUCCAGGCUGGCCUCUUUUCCUGGGGCUGAGCCGCAAGGAGCUCAGCAGCUGCGGCAUUUAGUUCAAUUACUUCAGAUGAUCUGUAAAUUUUCAAUAAUGGCAAUACAUUCAUUCUGCCAUUUGGAGGAGCCUGUGCCACAGAAUAAUGAUCUGAAGAAAGCUCACUUAUUUGCAAGGAAGAGUCUUCAUUUGGGAAGCAGCACUGAUGCAGCUCAAGGGUGCUUUUCCAAUUCCAGACUCUUUCAGCAGAACUGUUAUUUUCCUAACACAACCUCUGGUACAAGGAUAAAAUUGGAUAAAAUUGGAUAAAAGAACAGAGUCCUGUAUCUGAAGAGUAAGAAGUGGGAUGAGAAUCUCAGAACUGACUACUGGGACUCCCAAGCUACAGAUCAGUUCUAUAGGCAAUACAGAAUGUGAAAGAAACAGCUGCAUCUGAAAUAGAUGAUCCGCUUUAAGAAAAAACCAUUUUGAUAGGUGUGGGUUGCUUGUCAGAAAUCCAUUCCAAAGCUUGGGUGCAAAUGAAGCAGGGUACUAAUGAUGAAUAAGAAUGGAUAUCUUGAGGAUAACAAUCAAUAUGGCAUCUUCAAAAGCGUGGCAUUCUGGACCUAGUCCUGCAACUGGAUUUGUUGAAAUGGACCUUGAUAGCCUGGGGGCCUGAUGAAGUUCAUGGGACUCUGGUGACUGCAAGUUCUCACUCUGAAGAUUUGAUUGUAGGCCUGAACCUAAAUUUCUAUUUUGUUCUCCUGUCUAUUUGCUUCUAAAAUGAUGAAAAUUAUCCUUUAAAAUGGUGAUGUCUUUAGGUCUCAUGCACAUCCACUUUAGUAGUGUUCAGACACUGUGUUUGGGAUGUUGACAGACAUUGUUAAAAUAUUUCUAUUCUGUUGUGUGCCUGAACCUCAAGAUUGCUCUGAUUGUUGUGUUAGAUUUUUACAUUUAGUAGCUUUCUAUCUAAAAUGGAGAUCAUGACCUGUGUUUUCAAUCGUUGUGGUAUUUCUCUUAACUCAGAUUUUUAAGUCAGAGUAACUGUUGAAACUGUUCAGGUUAUUAUAAGUAAAUUUGUUUAUUUCUUGCUGGAUACAAAUAUUUUAUUUUGCAAACUUGGUAGCCUAGUAUUACUGAAAGCUUUCAAUAUGAUGAUGCUGUGAUGUAAUAAAAUAAGUAGGAAAAGACAUUACCUUUUAUUAGCUCUCCUGUUGCUUUUCUGUUCCUGUGGCUGUGGUUACACAACGUACAACAGAGUGAAGAUAUUUUUUUUUGUGAGCCAGUGAAUACCUUUUGUU